CAAUAGCGUAUAUUUAAGUUGUUGCAGUUAAAAAGCUCGUAGUUGGAUUUCGGAUGGGAUUUGCCGGUCCGUCGUUACGAUGUGCACUGGCCAGUCCUAUCUUGUUGUCGGGGACUAGCUCCUUGGAUUCACUUCCUGGGACUAGGAGCUGACGAGGUUACUUUGAGUAAAUUAGAGUGUUCAAAGCAAGCCUACGCUCUGAAUACAUUAGCAUGGAAUAACACGAUAGGACUCUGGCUUAUCUUGUUGGUCUGUGAGACCAGAGUAAUGAUUAAGAGGGACAGUCGGGGACAUUCGUAUUUCAUUGUCAGAGGUGAAAUUCUUGGAUUUAUGAAAGACGAACCUCUGCGAAAGCAUUUGUCAAGGAUGUUUUCAUUAA
rnacentral:rRNA from 1 species